UGGCUCAGCAGGUAAGAGCACUGGAUAUUUUUCCAAAGGACCUGGGUUCAAUUCCCAG
rnacentral:tRNA from 1 species